rnacentral:lncRNA from 1 species
AAGCAUGUCUCAAAGAGCGACAUAGCUUGGGAAACCAUGCUAACGAUUGUCUUAUUUUGGUUUAUAACCUAGGUCGACAUCAGUGGUAAUUGAACAAUAUAUGGACAUUGGGAGUGCAAUGCUUGACGAUGAGUGAAAACAUAUGUGUGAAGGUGAUAGACUGGCUGGACCUUCUCCAAGUGUAUCUUCCAUCCUAUGCAAGGUCAUAGUCAGUAAGUAGCAUAUUGCAAGGUUUAGAUACAUGGUUAGAAAAUAUUCUAAAGCGAGAAAAACAAAAUUGACCCUGGAGGGAGAAAACAGUGACUCUGCCUUAGGUUUCAAACCCCCUGAUAACAGUGGAAUUCGUGUUUCAUAGUAAAAAUAACCUAGUGGAAUUCCUAUAUGAAAAAGAAAGGAAACACGGUAUCAAGACAAUCAAAUAUACUGAGGUAUCAUACCAUAAGUCUUUGCUGCCAUUCUUCUUCACGUAAUUGAGGGAACUACACAGCGCAUCAUGUACUUCAUAGCACGCUUUACAUUCAGAGUCAUUACUAACCGAGCAAUGUCCUACAAAAACAUUGGAAGUAGAACCACCAGCACCCAGCAAAGAAAAUUUGUCCGUGGCGGACGAUUGGACAAAAUAGAUGCCACAGGCUACCGAUCUACACAAAUUGGCAUUACCAAGUAAGUUCAUGUUCAGGCCCUUCCCUGUGUGACAUUUGACAUUCAAAAUCAUGAUCAAUUCAGUUCCUCUAUUAAACCAGGAUCAUGAGUGACACUGGAUUCUAACCAAUAUCCCUAAGCAUCAGAACAAAGAGUGAAGCAUUCAGAGCUUUCAACAAUUGCCACGGAUGUGUGUGUGGCAACGGGAGAUUUUUUUUGACGUGUAUUCAAAUUUAAGCAAAUAUGUACAAGCUUUAGUAGUAGACAAACAACCAGCCAGAUUGGACAUCCAUAACUUUCGUUGUAAUUAUCAAGUGGUGCAAACAAUCUACGCAAAAUUAAUUCCAUCAAUAAUAUGAUGAACAAUUGAACACAUAAUUUGGAAAAAGAAGAAGAUAGGCACAUGUCAAGUAACUAAUUCAGGUUAAACAUGGUAUUUGACGAAUUCUAGCAUGAUUUAAGUUUGCAUUGUCGAGUGUCGCUUAGCGGGAAAUUCUUGGAUUUUUAUAUGUUGGUACCUAUAAUUGUACGGGGGCCUUCGUGACAUCUCCAAUCCUGAAGACAUCUCAGUUUAGGGAUAAUGGUGACAUCUUCCGGCCUUGACCUGUCUGCAAAUAAUCCUUAACAGCUAUAAUUUAGUUUCAGUACAUAUCCAUAAGCUUUUCAGCAUGCAGACAACAAUGGUACGGUUACCUAGUAAAACUCAACCAGAUCACCUUGUGUGCAUGCUGAAUUUCUACUAUACGGCUAGCUUGGUUGAGACAAAACAAUGCAACUAACCUAUAUUCAUUAAUUAAAACAAAAAAUACCAGGUGAAGGUAUCCUAAUUAAAGAAACAAAAGUAAGUCCACAUAAAAGAAAUAAGAAAGAACCAUCUCCAGGAAGGAGAGAUUAGACCUAUACCAAAGCAUUCGUUAGCUAAACCAAAAGAAAAU